rnacentral:rRNA from 1 species
ACUUAAAUUGAAGAGUUUGAUCAUGGCUCAGAUUGAACGCUGGCGGCAGGCCUAACACAUGCAAGUCGAGCGGUAGCACAGAGAGCUUGCUCUCGGGUGACGAGCGGCGGACGGGUGAGUAAUGUCUGGGAAACUGCCUGAUGGAGRGGGAUAACUACUGGAAACGGUAGCUAAUACCGCAUAACGUCGCAAGACCAAAGUGGGGGACCUUCGGGCCUCAUGCCAUCAGAUGUGCCCAGAUGGGAUUAGCUAGUAGGUGGGGUAACGGCUCACCUAGGCGACGAUCCCUAGCUGGUCUGAGAGGAUGACCAGCCACACUGGAACUGAGACACGGUCCAGACUCCUACGGGAGGCAGCAGUGGGGAAUAUUGCACAAUGGGCG